UGGGGAAUUGUUCGCAAUGGGCGCAAGCCUGACGACGCAACGCCGCGUGGAGGACGAAGAUCUUCGGGUCGUAAACUCCUGUCGAGUGGGAAGAAUGGAUCGGGGCCGAACACGCUCCGGUAUUGACGGUACCACUAAGGGAAGCCCCGGCUAACUCCGUGCCAGCAGCCGCGGUAAUACGGGGGGGGCAAGCGUUGUUCGGAAUUACUGGGCGUAAAGCGAGUGUAGGCGGUUUCGUAAGUCAGGUGUGAAAGCCCCGGGCUCAACCCGGGAAGUGCACUUGAUACUGCGAGGCUAGAGUACUGGAGAGGUUGGUGGAAUUCUCGGUGUAGAGGUGAAAUUCGUAGAUAUCGAGAGGAACACCGGUGGCGAAGGCGGCCAACUGGACAGAUACUGACGCUGAGACUCGAAAGCGUGGGGAGCAAA
rnacentral:rRNA from 1 species